rnacentral:rRNA from 1 species
GUCCUUUUGAUCAUUAUUUAAGGUCUUAUCUGCCCACUGAUAUUUGAAGGGCCGCAGUAUUUUGACUGUGCAAAGGUAGCAUAAUAAUUAGUUUCUUAAUUGGGAGCUGGUAUGAAUGAUAGGACGAGAAAAUUACUGUCUUUACCUAAAUUUUAUUGAACUUAACUUUUUAGUUAAAAGGCUUAAUUGUUUAUAAAAGACGAGAAGACCCUAUAGAGUUUUAUAAAAUUAAUUUAUUUAAUUUUAGGAAUAAAAGAUUUUUAGAUUAAUUUUUAUUUUAUUGGGGUGAUUAGAAAAUUGUUAAAACUUUUCUUUUUUUAAUUCAUUUAUUUAUGAUUUCUUGAUCCUGAAUUUCUGAUUAUAAGAUUAAAUUACCUUAGGGAUAACAGCGUAAUUCUUUUUGAGAGUUCUUAUCGAAGAAAGAGUUUGCGACCUCGAUGUUGGAUUAAAAUUUACUUUUGGUGUAGAGGCUAAAAAGUUAGGUCUGUUCGACUUUUAAAAUUUUACAUGAUCUGAGUUUAAACCGGUGUGAGCCAGGUUGGUUUCUAUCUUUAUUUUAUUAAAAUAUUUUAGUACGAAAGGACCAUUUAUUUAUAUAAUAUAUUUAGUUUUGAUUAUUAUUGUUAUUUUGGCAGAUUAGUGCAAUUGAUUUAGAAUCUUUAUAUGUAAAAUUUUACAGAUAACACUUGGUAUUUUUUGAUUAUUUAUUACUUAUUAUUACUACUGGAUUUUUAAUUAUUGGCGUUUUUGUUGGGGUAGCUUUUUUAACUUUACUUGAGCGUAAAGUUUU